GAUGAAGAACGCAGCGAAAUGCGAUACGUAAUGUGAAUUGCAGAAUUCAGUGAAUCAUCGAGUCUUUGAACGCACAUUGCGCCCCCUGGUAUUCCGGGGGGCAUGCCUGUCCGAGCGUCUUUGCUGCCCUCAAGCACGGCUUGUGUGUUGGGCCUCCGUCCUCCUCCCGGGGGACGGGCCCGAAAGGCAGCGGCGGCACCGCGUCCGGUCCUCGAGCGUAUGGGGCUUCGUCACCCGCUCUUGUAGGCCCGGCCGGCGCUUGCCGACACAUCAAUCUUUUUUCCAGGUUGACCUCGGAUCAGGUAGGGAUACCCGCUGAACUUAAGCAUAUCAAUAAGCGGAGGA
rnacentral:misc_RNA from 1 species